GGACCGUUAGCUCAGUUGGACAGAGCAUCGGCCUUCUAAGCCGAGGGUCGCAGGUUCGAAUCCUGCACGGUCCG
rnacentral:tRNA from 1 species